CCCUCCCAUUUCACUCUCCACCCCCAACCUACAAACCCUAGCCUCCCUCUUUUCCUCUCCAAAAAUCACAUAGCAGGAACCCUAGCCGUCGCCGCCGGAAAUCGUUUUACGGCGGCGGUCCAUCACCAAAUAAUCCCAAAGUCACCCUCCACACUCUCCACAGCCCCUGGAACAUCAAUCCACCAUUAAUUUCCACUAAAUCACAUUCGAAUUCCACUAAUUUCAGAUCUGGUGGCAUGCAAAACCUAAGUCCCAUGCUUUCGAGUUUUCAAAGACGGUUUAGGCCUGAAACUGAUAUUAAUCUUUUAUUCUCAACAAGAACAUUUGAUUAACAUUUAUUUCGGUUUAAGUCGGAGAAGGACGGAGCCCCGCCUGAGCCAACUGCCCGUCCAUCUAAUAUAGGUAUCUCUAUUCCUCUUUCUAUUUCUUCGUUCUUUUUUUCUUCUUUUCCUUUAUCUUCUUCCCUCUUUAUUCACUCUGUUUGCUUCUAUUUUCCCUUUCAUUGACCAAAAAAUGAAGAAGUUUAGGGUUCCUUAAUCUAUGUGUUUGGCUCAGAUUCAUUAGUUUGUCAAUCGCUAUUAGGUUUCUUAAUUUGGCUUAGCUCAUGUCUAAUUAGCCUAACUCGUAAAUCAGUCUAGUUUAUUAUUGUAGUUCAAAUUUUGAUUCACUGGUUUAAUAUGUUGAUCUGUUUAAUUGGUUUAAUUCUCAAAAAUAGUUCAUUAUUGUUAGUUUUGGGUUUUGCUAUUUGACUCAUUUUGGUAUUAGGUUUGAAUAUUUCUAUUUUUGUUUCUUUUCUGAGGUAGUUCAGGUUAAAUGAAUUUAGGGUUAGUCUAAAGGUUUAAUUGCAUAAUGAUUUGUUCCUUUGAUCUUUGUUUCGUUUUGAUUCUGGUCUUGUGUUGUUGAUCCUGAUUUGGGAAUAAACAGGAACCUAUGUGGGGUUAAUUGGACAAUAAAAACUUAAGGGGGUCAUGGGAGGGGUAUGCAAACAAAAGUUUGGUUAGAAGCUUCUAAAAUUUGGGGCAGCUGGAUUUAUUUGGCCAACACAAAAAUGCUGAAACGAGUUAGAGGUUGUCAGCUGUCCCAUUUCUGUUAGAAAGAUGCUUUUAGGGGCUGUGUGAGAAAAUAAUUCCCAAUUUUCUGUUUUUCAGCACAUGGAAUUUUUAUGGGCUUAUAAAUAGAACCCUUCCCUUACUUUUUAUACAGAUUUCGAACCCUAGAAAAGACUAAAAAAGUUCUGCAUUGUUUCAUUGAGAGCUGGUUUUUAUUUUCUUCUGAUUUUCUUUAGCAAAUAUUAGAAAAACAUUCCCAGGAUUUCUGGUUUUCUAGGCUUGAAUAUAGAUUAAAUUGAAGCUGCUAUUGUUGUUGACCAACUGCCGAUCCUUACUCAUUCUUAGCUUGAAGUUCUUAUUUCAUUCUCUUUUGUUGUAUCCAGGUAUGUUCAUGAGCUUGAAGUGAUAAAAAUGGGAUGGUAGCAUGUUGAUUUAGAAUUUGACUCCCGAUUUAUACUUAGCUAAAUAUUUUCUAUUGUUCUUCUUCAUUUGAAUCUGUAACUUCUUUUAGUCCUGCUUAAAUAUUGUCGAUACUGAUGCUAGUGUAUUUAGAUGGUUUAGAUAUUCAAGAUAUUUUAAUUCAUCCAUGUGUGGUUUAACAAUUUACUAUACCAGUUGUAAUUAUUUGGGACUUUACUAAAGGUUAUUGAAUGUACAUCUAUGUAUUUGAAUUGUUGAGCAUAAUGGCAUGUGUAGAUCUAAAUUAGUCCAUGAAUGAGUUCAGGAGUCAAUCUCUUGUUGAUUGAUAUUAAUAGCAUG
rnacentral:lncRNA from 1 species